UAAAGGCUGAAUAUUGUAGAUUUAUUACAAUAUGUUGCAUGUUUGAAUUAAAAUACCUGUGGAUAUGCAGGAGCACACACUCUACAAAGGCCUGACUGGAGAUUUGCCUGAUCUAUCCGUCCUUCAGAUGACAGCGGCUCGCUUCAAGAGCAGGUGAAGCAAGUUGGGACAAUGUUGAAGACAUUUGCUCGCACUGGGCAAUCAGGUGCAGAUCAAACCCUAAUGCUGCGACGUCUUGGAAUUUGGCGAUGUUGUGCGUAGCAUGGACGACAAAAUGCUAUGCUGCAACGUUUCAGUGCCAAUGUGUCUGUUGGAGAGUUAUCCCUGCCAGGGGAUCUGUUACUCCCCCCUAGACACCCAGGAAGAUUUGGCGUUGCUUGACAACAGUUUGAGGCAGGAUAAAGAGC